UACGUAGGAGACGAGCGUUGUCCGGAAUUACUGGGCGUAAAGCGCGCGCAGGCGGUUUCUUAAGUCUGAUGUGAAAGCCCACGGCUCAACCGUGGAGGGUCAUUGGAAACUGGGAGACUUGAGUGCAGAAGAGAAGAGUGGAAUUCCACGUGUAGCGGUGAAAUGCGUAGAGAUGUGGAGGAACACCAGUGGCGAAGGCGACUCUUUGGUCUGUAACUGACGCUGAGGCGCGAAAGCGUGGGGAGCAAACAGG
rnacentral:rRNA from 1 species